GACGAACGCUGGCGGCGUGCUUAACACAUGCAAGUCGAACGGAAAGGCCCUGCUUUUGUGGGGUGCUCGAGUGGCGAACGGGUGAGUAACACGUGAGUAACCUGCCCUUGACUUUGGGAUAACUUCAGGAAACUGGGGCUAAUACCGGAUAGGAGCUCCUGCUGCAUGGUGGGGGUUGGAAAGUUUCGGCGGUUGGGGAUGGAUUCGCGGCUUAUCAGCUUGCUGGUGGGGUAGUGGCUUACCAAGGCUUUGACGGGUAGCCGGCCUGUGAGGGUGACCGGCCACAUUGGGACUGAGAUACGGCCCAGACUCCAACGGGAGGCAGCAGUGGGGAAUAUUGCACAAUGGGCGGAAGCCUGAUGCAGCAACGCCGCGUGCGGGAUGACGGCCUUCGGGUUGUAAACCGCUUUCGCCUGUGACGAAGCGUGAGUGACGGUAAUGGGUAAAGAAGCACCGGCUAACUACGUG
rnacentral:rRNA from 1 species